GAUGAACGCUAGCGGCAGGCUUAACACAUGCAAGUCGAGGGGUAUAGGUUUUCGGACCUAGAGACCGGCGCACGGGUGCGUAACGCGUAUGCAAUCUACCUUUCACAGAGGGAUAGCCCAGAGAAAUUUGGAUUAAUACCUCAUAGUAUAGCAGUUUCGCAUGAAACCACUAUUAAAGUAUCAACGGUGAAAGAUGAGCAUGCGUCCCAUUAGCUAGAUGGUAAGGUAACGGCUUACCAUGGCUACGAUGGGUGGGGGUCCUGAGAGGGAGAUCCCCCACACUGGAACUGAGACACGGACAAGACUCCUACGGGAGGCAGCAGUGAGGAAUAUUGGUCAAUGGACGCAAGUCUGAACCAGCCAUGCCGCGUGCAGGAUGACGGUCCUAUGGAUUGUAAACUGCUUUUGUACGAGAAGAAACAACAUUACGUGUAAUGUCUUGACGGUAUCGUAAGAAUAAGGAUCGGCUAACUCCGUGCCAGCCGCCGCAGUAACAC
rnacentral:rRNA from 1 species